rnacentral:lncRNA from 1 species
UAUCUUGAUGGGAAUCAGCUCAGUGGUCAACUUCCUGCAACUCUGUCCUUAUGUGGAGAGCUUUUGUCACUAUCACUAUUUUACAACAAAUUCGCAGGAAGCAUACCAAGAGAAAUUGGCAACUUAUCCAAGCUUGAAUAUAUUAAUCUCAGAAGGAAUAGCUUCGCAGGUAGCAUUCCACCUUCAUUUGGUAAUAUCCCCAAGGAGUUGGGGAAUCUCAUCAACUUACAAUUCUUGGAUCUUUGCGACAACAAUUUAAUGGGGAUAGUACCAGAAGCUAUUUUUAACAUCUCUAAGCUGCAGAUCCUUUCGCUGGUACUAAAUCACCUUUCAGGCAGUCUCCCAUCAGGUAUUGGCACUUGGCUCCCGGAUCUUGAAGGGCUUUAUAUAGGUGCCAAUCAAUUUAGUGGAAUAAUUCCAUUGUCUAUUUCAAAUGUCAAAGCUAACAAUCCUAAGCAUGAGCAAUAACUUCUUCACUGGAUAUGUGCCAAAGGAUCUAGGUAACUUGAGACGACUCCAGUGGCUCCACCUUUCAGGAAACCAAUUGACUGAUGAACACUCAACCUCUGAGCUUGCCUUUCUUACAUCAUUAACGAAUUGCAACUCUUUGAGAAAAUUGUGGAUCAGUGGUAAUCCUUUAAAAGGCAUUAUUCCAAAUUCAUUAGGGAAUCUCUCAAUUUCUUGAAAGUAUUUACGCGGGUGACUGCCAACUCAGAGGCACAAUCCCUACAGGGAUUAGAAUUUGAUCAACUUGAUUGAUUUGACACUCAAUGAUAAUGACUUGAUAGGGUUCAUUCCAACAUCAUCUGGACUCCUACAGAAGCUGCAGUUUUUAGCUAUCCCUGGAAAUCGAAUACACGGAUCCAUUCCUCGUGGUCUAUGCCAUUUGACAAACUUGGGAUACUUGGAUUUGAGUUCGAAUAAACUUCCUGGAACAAUCCCUAGCUACUUUGGGAAUCUUACUAGACUGCGGAACAUCUACUCCAGUGGACUAGCUCCUGAGAUACCUUCAUCUCUGUGGACCCUUAGAGAUCACUUGAUUCUUAACUUGUCUUCAAACUUCCUCAACAGCCAACUACCCCUGGAAGUUGGGAACAUGAAGUCCUUACUGGUAUUGGACCUGUCAAAGAACCAAUUUUCAGGAAACAUCCCAAGCACCAUAUCACUUCUUCAAAACCUGCUCCAACUUUUCCUAUCCCAUAACAAGCUACAAGGUCAUAUGCCCCCCAAUCUUGGUGAUUUGGUGAGCUUGGAAUAACUGGAUCUGUCUGGGAACAAUUUAUCUGGUUCUAUUCCCAAGUCACUAGAGGCUCUGAAAUAUCUCAAAUACCUAAAUGUUUCUUUCAAUAAAGUACAAGGAGAGAUUCCAAACGGAGGACCCUUUGCAAACUUCACUGCUGAAUCUUUCAUCUCCAACCUAGCACUUUGUGGAGCACCUCGAUUUCAAGUCAUGGUACUUGAGAAAGAUACUAGAAGGAACACAAAAUCACUCCUCUUGAAAUGUAUUGUCCCUCUGAGUGUAUCAUUAUCAGCAAUAAUAUUAGUGAUUCUCUUUAUUCUAUGGAAGCGAAGACACACCAAGUCAGGAACUCCGGUUCAAGUUGAUUUGCCGCUUCCCAGAAUGCAUAGAAUGAUUCCACAUCAAGAACUCCUUUAUGCAACCAGCUACUUUGGUGAAGACAAUUUGAUUGGAAAAGGAAGCUUAGGAAUGGUAUAUAAAGGGGUACUAUCCGAUGGGUUGAUUGUUGCUGUGAAGGUUUUCAAUUUGGAAUUGCAGGGAGCUUUCAAGAGUUUUGAGGUAGAAUGUGAAGUAAUGCGGAAUAUUCGCCAUCGAAAUCUUGCCAAGAUAAUUAGUAGUUGCUCCAACUUGGACUUCAAAGCGUUGGUGCUUGAGUAUAUGCCUAAUGGGAGCUUAGAGAAGUGGUUGUACUCUCACAAAUACUACUUGGAUUUUGUCCAACGAUUAAAAAUUAUGAUAGAUGUGGCAUCAGGGUUGGAGUAUCUCCAUCAUGAUUACUCAAAUCCUGUGGUUCACUGUGACUUGAAGCCCAGCAAUGUCUUGUUAGAUGAUGACAUGGUUGCACACAUAAGUGAUUUCGGCAUUGCAAAACUGUUGAUUGGAAAUGAGUUUAUGAAGCGAACCAAAACCUUGGGCACCAUAGGCUAUAUGGCACCAGGUAAAGUUUCCUACAACUUCAACACAUUCUUAUGCCAUUUCUUUUCUCUCUCAACUAGCUGGUUUUCCAUAAUGAACAACUAAUAUUACAUGCAGGGAGUAGGUUAGAGGAUAAGUUAUUGUAAGUAUUCUAGGCUUUUUAAAUUGUUUUCAAUCCUUUGAAAAAUGGAGAGGUAGUCAUUGGAUCUUUACAAACGUCUUACAUGAUCAUUUUUGACCUCUUGAUACUUAAUUAAUAUUUUUUUUUAAAAGAAGAUUGUUUUUUUAUUAAUUAUUUAUCUUUAUGUCAUUGUUUCUUUGUUCAUUUUACUAAUGGAAACUAAUAAGCAUGCAGAGUAUGGCUCAGAGGGAAUAGCAUCCACAAAAGGUGACAUAUAUAGUUAUGGGAUCAUGCUGAUGGAAACUUUUGUUGGGAAGAAGCCUACUGAUGAAAUGUUCAUGGAGGAACUAACCUUGAAGAGUUGGGUGGAGUCAUCAACCAACAACAUAAUGGAGGUUAUAGAUGCCAAUCUCCUGACAAAAGAAGAUGAAAGUUUUGCCUUAAAACAAGCUUGUUUUUCUUCCAUCAUGACAUUAGCUUUAGAUUGUGCAGCUGAGCCUCCUGAGAAGAGGAUUAACAUGAAAGAUGUGGUGGUUAGACUCAAGAAGCUCUUGAAUCAAAUUGUUGAUUUAAAGACUCCAUAAUUAAAAAGAAGGCAUGGAGAUUAUGUUCCUUUCUUCCACCCUGAGCUUAUUUAAGAGUUCACAAAUCAAGAACUGAGGGACCAUUAAGCAUGGCCUGCCAGGUGGUUGAAAGUUCCUUAUUAUAUCAACUCUAUGCAAAUUAUGCUCAAAUGUGUGUGUAGUUCCAUCUAUUUUCCCCAAUGUAAUUCAGCUUGAAUAAUGCCAUGAAUCCGAAUGCUUUUACUUCGUAUUUUCCCAUUAGCAUGAUAUUAAGUGAAGGUUCCAGUGAGUAACUUCUAGAAGAACAUUUCAUGCUUUUCUUUUUAAGAUAUGAUAGACUUUAAUAAAUUAUUUGUCUAUGAUUGAUCACUUCAGCAAAUUGUCUAGUCAAAAUUGACCUCUACUUGUGGAUAUAUCUUACUUAAUUUCUUAUAACUUGCAAUUACUUCCCGAUUGUGUAUAAUUGGAUUUGGCUUAUUUCAAAAUCAUGGCUCAUGAGAAUUAAGAAGUUCAAGAAUUCAUAUUCAAAUGCGCCUUUCAUCUUCCAAACAUGUUUUAUGGUUUGAAAAGAAAAUAAUAUAAAUUGACAACAAUCAGCUAUUGAAAGAAUAGAGUAAAAGUGGUGUUCGUUUUACUCCAUGAGAGAUAUGACAUGAUCAAUAUUUAUCAUGUAAUCUGAACAAUUUUGAUUUUGUGUUUGUAUUCGUGAGAAUUGAGAUCUCAAAUUGGAAAAAUAAUUUAGUAAAAUGUUAAAAAAGAAAAAGAAAAAAAAGGUUGUUGCUCACGAAUUACUUGAUAGACGUUAAGAUUACUCACUGCUCUCACUGAUCUCACUGGUGUAACGGCUGCUGCUUGCUGCUGUACUUCAGAAGUUGUUGUGCUUCUAAAGUUAGGUAGUUUGUUAGAUUUUGUUAGAUUAGUUAGACUUUUGCACAAUGGAAAAUUCUACGGCACCGAAGUGGGUACCGCAGCUGCAAAAUUCUUGUCCGUUGGAUUAAAAGCUUCCAAUCAAGACUGAAUGCCUUUGCCCCACUUAGCUGGACUGCACCAUCGUAUUGCCUCUUCUUGAAUACGCUUUGCUUGACCAACUUUUCAGGUUUCUUUCUCGGUUUUGGUAGGACUGCACUGUCGUUGCCCCUGCUUGCCCUCCACGCACUUUUUUCCAAGGAGGUGGUUUCCGACCAAUCUCUUUCUUCUUGAAUACACCAUUAUAUCGUGAUAUGCGGGCAGAUCCAUAUGCAAAUUGAGUUUUGUCUCCUGUGGAAUGUGGACUACAGCACCGUGAUAACCCACUCUUCACUGCACCAGGCUUGACCCGAGGUUAGCUCUUUUGUCCUUUUGGAAAACUGCACCGCAGCUGUCCCUUCUUGACCGGCUCAAUCCACUUCUCCAAAAGAGGUUGAGGGUGUCUUGUCCCUUUAGGGAUCACCACACAGGGGUUACCAAGCAAUUACUUUGUUCUUUCUUCAUUCUGCCUACAUUUCUCCAGUUGCAUUAUGACAUGCAAAUGCUUGUUGAAUUGUUUUGAGUAUGUCCAGCUAGAGACAGUUGCAGCAGCUCUGCUCAUAAUCCAUGCUUUCUAUGAUGUGUAAGAAAUAUCUAACUUUAUGUUUGUUCAUACAGAAAAUGACACUUGAAUUAUAAUUCUUAUGGGAGUUAGAAAAGUCUUGCUUCUUUGAUGAUUAUCCAAAGAUUCAAUCAUGAAAUGCAGAAAAUGUAAAUCUUCAUGAAUAUAUGAAUCUCCAACAAUCCCUAAUUUCACACCCAUAAAUUCCUUAUUCCACUCCCAUAAUUUGUACCAUGCUCCCCCAUUUAUUUGUAAUACUUCAUAUGUAUUACAACCAUCUGCUAUAUAUAUCACAUUCAAAGGAAAGUAUCCUUAUAGAAUUGAUAUUGACUUUAAAUGCUUGAUCAAAUAUUCCGCUACAUAAAUCAAAACUCAAUGGCAAAUACAAUGAAGGAUAGAAAUUAAAAAAUUAAAAAUAAAAUAAUUUUAUGUAAAAUGAAAUAAAAAUACCUUUGAAGCUCUUCAUCUAGAUAUACUAGAUAUAACUCAAAACACCCACAAUCAUACACAAAGAAAGAGGAGUGAUAUGGCAUCUUGUAGCAAAUUCUUUGCAAAAUAGGGAUUGGUAUUUGAAAAUUUUAUUAUUAUUAAUCUACCAUUUCCAAAGUAAAAUCAUCAAAACCUUCUAAAUUUGAUUAUUCUUUCAUUAAAGUGUUGUCAAAUUUCUUGUUAAUAAAGUUUGAUAGAAGAUAAGAAAAUAAAAUUAUAAGGUAUAAUAUAAGUACUUUUUAAUAAUAAUAAUAAUAUUAACAAUAUUAUUGUUAUUAUUAUUAUAGUUAUGGAUUUCCUUAAUAUAAUACGUUAGAUGUUCUUUUAAGUAAAGGAAUAUUGUUAUUGCUUUUGUAAUAAUAUAUAAGAACAUUAGAAAAAAACAGUUAAUAAUGUAUUUAUUGACAAAUUUGGUAAUCAUAAUUUAACAUUUACAACUACCAUCAAUAAUAAUGAGAUUCUCACAUCUAUAGAAUUUAGAGGAUUUAUAACAUAAUCUUGUUAGGUUUAUAUGUUUAAUUUACAUGAGCAAAUGACUAAUAAAUUAUUUAGUCCAAUAAAUUGCAAUAGAUGUGAUAUUUUAUAUCAAAAUAAUUUUUACAAAUUAAUACAUUAAUUAUAUAAUAUUUGAAAAGAACAUUUAAAAUUUUUUAUAUAAUGAGUGUAGGGUUAAUUUUUCAAAAUAAAUUACUACUACAGUUUUUUUUUCUUUUUCUUUUUGGGCUAAAAUUAUCCAUAUUUGUAGCACGAAAAACCAUAUCCUUGAGUAAGAAAAUAAAAAUAAAAAUUACACAAUGUGUAUUGAACCAAAUCAAAAAUAUAAAAUAUAAAACUUCGAAUAUACUUCCUAUUAUUAUUAGUUCAACGAUUAAACUGGAAAAAUGAUUGAACAAGUCGAGUUUGAGAACUAGUUAACUUACAUAUAUAUAUAUUUUUUUAACUGUUUUCUUUUUUCAAAGUCUAAACAAAUGUUUUUUGUUUGUGCUAUAUAUUUGAAAACUAAAAUUUCCACAAAAUUUUAUUAAAACUUUAAACAAGUAAUCAAUAUAAAAAGAUUAAUUUAAUAAAUCACUCAUAUUUCUUGUCAUUAAACUGAGCAUUGUCAUCAACAAGUAUUUAACAUUUAUAUAACCUUGCUAAUCAAAAACAUAAAUAUGAUUUUUCUUAAUAUAUAUAUAUUUGUAGACCCCCGAACAGUAGAGUUCUUUGGGGUGAUGUUGCUUUUAUAUAUAUAUCUUCUGACCACCCUGGGAAUUAGGCUGACGGGGGUGGCCAGAUGGGACGCGAGAGGGGCAGAGAGUAGGUGAGAGUUGUGGAGGAAUGGGCGGGAAAUGAAAAACAGAGGAGGAAGAUAGAAAGGGGGAGGUUUUUUUUUUUUGAGGGGACUACGAGUUACAGAGGAAGAGUAACAGCAGGAGAGAAACGAGGUGAGGAGGGGGGAUUUUUUUUCAGCUGGCUAGAGGAGACCUUGAAAGCUAUUGGAGGAAAAACACAGGUAUCAUUUCUGCAAGCUAUGGAUUUUCUUAUGUUCAGGGUACUUUAUGAUGUCUUAUGGGUAUUAUGAGAUGUUAUUUUUGAUGCUUGAAUGUGCUUCCUUUUUUUUUUUUUGGAGAUUCUCACAUAUUUUUUAUGGAAUCUAAGCCUGCUUAUACUCACUCGAAGCUUGAUUUCCAACCUGUUCAUGGUCUCUGUUUUGGUGUUUUAUAUGAGAUGUUGGCAUCCACGUAUUGAUUUCUCUUUAGGAACUUAAAAUGGAACAAUAGAUGACAUGGAUGUUUCAGCCAAUGUAGUUGUUAUAAGUUUCUCCAUGCAUGCCACCACCCUUCCAGCUCUCCACUCUUCCCCCCCUCACCCCCAUACCCGCGUCAUGCCUAUCCCCAUUAGGACCCCGAAGUCACUCGCCUACAUGCGUAGGAAUCGUGCAUGCGUGGAGCCAUGGACGGCGGCAGCAGGCUGCCACCAGCUUGCUGUGGAUGGUGGAGGCGGCACGCGGUGCCGCGUGAUGGUGUGCAGCUCCAGAAGGUGUCGCGGAGUGAAAGAAAUGGUGUGAACGAAGUUGUCGCAGCAAGAGAGCGGUCAGCUGUAGCAGGCCGCGAGGGUGUCUGCAUGAAAAAAAAGAUGUGGAACGAACGAGAAAGAGAGGGGGAAGUGGCUGCCAAGAAGCUGGUUGGUGAAGAUGAUGAUGCCCAGGUGGAAAUGGCUUUGGGCUUAAGUUUGGAGCCCAGGCCCAAGCUUAUGAUGAAGAAGGUGUUUGUAUUGGGCUUGCCCACGGAGAUUUUGGGUUUAGGCUUGAGCUUUGCUGGUGGACUUGGAGGCUUGGGCUUGGGUUUGAGCUUUGCUGGUGGACUUGGAGGUUAGGAUUUGGGCUUGAGGUCUGCUGAUGGACUUGGACUGGACUAGGGUUGCUAGGGUGAUUUUAUUACUAUUAUUAUUAUUAUUGUUGUUAUUAUACUUAUUAUUAUUAUUAUUAUUAAUUCAACUUUUAAAAUCUCAUUAUUAUUAUUAUUAUUAAUUCAACUUUCAAAAAAUAUUAUUAUUAUUAUUAUUAUUAUUAUUAUUAAUCCAACUUUCAAAAUAUCAUUAUUAUUAUUAUUAUUAAUUCACACUUUCAAAAUCUAUUUAUUAUUACUAUUAUUAUUAUUAAUUCAAACUCUCAAAAUCUUAUUAUUAUUAUUAUUAUUAAUUCAACUCUAAAAAAAUCUUAUUAUUAUUAUUAUUAUUAAUCCAACUUUCAAAAUUUAAUUAUUAUUAUUAUUAUUAAUUCACACUUUCAAAAUCUAUUUAUUAUUAUUAUUAUUAUUAUUAUCAGUAAUCCAAACUUUCAAAAUCUUAUUAUUAUCAUUAUUAUUAUUAUUAUUAAUUAAUUCACACUUUCAAAGUCUUAUUAUUAUUAUUAUUAUUAUCAUUAAUUCAAACUUUCGAAGUCUUAUUAUUAUUAUUAUUAAUAAUUCAAGCUUUCAAAAUUAAUCUUAUUAUUACUAUUAUUAUUAUUAAUUCAAACUCUCAAAAUCUUAUUAUUAUUAUUAUUAUUAUUAUUAAUCCAACUUUCAAAAUCUCAUUAUUAUUAUUAUUAUUAAUUCACACUUUCAAAAUCUAUUUAUUAUUAUUAUUAUUAUUAUCAGUAAUCCAAACUUUCAAAAUCUUAUUAUUAUCAUUAUUAUUAUUAUUAUUAUUAAUUUACACUUUCAAAAUCUUAUUAUUAAUAUUAUUAUUAAUUCAACUCUCAAAAUCUUAUUAUUAUUAUUAUUAUUAUUAAUUCACACUUUCAAAGUCUUAUUAUUAUUAUUAUUAAUUCAAACUUUCGAAGUCUUAUUAUUAUUAUUAUUAUUAUUAUUAAUUCAAGCUUUUAAAAUUAAUCUUAUUAUUACUAUUAUUAUUAUUAAUUCAAACUCUCAAAAUCUUAUUAUUAUUAUUAUUAUUAAUUCAACUUUCAAAAAAUCUUAUUAUUAUUAUUAUUAUUAUUAUUAUUAAUCCAACUUUCAAAAUCUCAUUAUUAUUAUUAUUAUUAAUUCACACUUUCAAAAUCUAUUUAUUAUUAUUAUUAUUAUCAUUAAUCCAAACUUUCAAAAUCUUAUUAUUAUCAUUAUUAUUAUUAUUAUUAUUAUUAAUUCACACUUUCAAAAUCUUAUUAUUGUUAUUAUUAUUAAUUCAACUUUCAAAAUCUUAUUAUUAUUAUUAUUAUUUAUUCACACUUUCAAAAUCUUAUUAUUAUUAUUAUUAUCAUUAAUUCAAACUUUCGAAAUCUUAUUAUUAUUAUUAUUAUUAAUUUAAACUUUCAAUAAAUCUUAUUAUUAUUAUUAUUAUUAUAAAUUCAACUUUCAAAAUCUAUAUCCUUGCAUUUUAAUUCCCUAAAGUUCAUUUCUCAUUUUCUUUGGCAAAUUUUAUUUUAAUUACUGAAGCUCUAAUCUUUUGAAUUUAAUUCCCAAAAUCUCCAAUUUUCCAAUAAACUCCAAGAAUCCAGUCUUCACCCUAAUAGUUUUAAUUCCAUUUCAGUUCCUAAAUAAUCUUCCGAUCUUCUUGAUUUUACAUAAGCAAUAGUGAAUUCUUCAUAAUUCUAAAACACGGUAUUUGUGAGACUAGUUCGUGAAUAAUAAAUUUGGCUUUGGUGGAGGGGGCCUAUGUUUGAUCCCUAUUGAUUGUCAACUGUUGUGCUUAAUAUAUUUUGCUUAAUCUUCAUUUUGCACUUCGAUAUGCAUGAGCUAUAAUUUGUAUUCGUUAAUUGUGUAUUAAUCUCAUUUCUUGAUAGCGCAUUGUGGCUCGUGGCCCAGGUACGCAUACAUUCUCAUUCUGAUACUUCACUAUACGUGUUUCGAUUCUCAUAUGUGCAUGAUCAUUCAGGAUAUUCAUUGAUUUACUCAUCAACUGCCACAUCAGCUUUAUUUUAUCAGUAGAGACCUGACUUUAGGGACUUAGAGGGGUGCUAUGGUCUUCACCGUACCUUCCCGAUAAGUAACUUGACCCCUGAGCCCGAUCCGGUUUUUCGUAGAUCGUCUUUUCCAAAACCAGGAGUCGUAUUUAGGGUUUUUCUUUCUUAUUUUGUUUACCCUUUUAAAAAUAAAACAAAAAUAAGUGGCGACUCUAAGUCAUUUUUAAUCAACAAAUCAAUUUUUAAAAUAAAAAUCGAACUCGCCAUUCGAGUGGGAAACGCAUGAGCCGAAAUGCAGGGUCCGCAAUAUUAAUCAUUAUUUAGUUGCAUAGGAAUUUUAAGAAAUUUAAUUAUUUUACUAAGAAAUUCAUCAUGAAGCUUAAUUUGUAAAAUUACAAAAAUGUCCAUGAAAUGGAACUUUUUGUUGGAAGUUGAUAUCUUAUACCAUAUUUUAGUCUUUUUUUUUUCUCCUUAUUCUUUUUUCUUAAACAUAAAAUUUAAAAUGACAUAAAAAAUUUACUUUUUAUGUGAGAUAAUAUUUUAGUUUUUACUUUGAAUAACUUAAAUUAAUUUUUUGAUCAAUAUUCAUCAUUGAAUUUGGGCAAUUUUGAAAAGGUCAACAAUUUUAAUUUUAUGUUUUUUAUUUGUGAGAAUUAAGAUCUCAAAUUACGAAAAGAAUUCAGUAAAAUGUUAAAAAUAAAAUAAAAUUAAAUGAAGAUUAACUUUUGGGAUGUUAUUUACGGUUGAUUUGUCAAUAGGAAGUAACUUUUCCAACAAUAAUCACCAUGGCAAUGUGGGUGUCUCAUGGCUGUGCAUGGUUUUAUUUCUAUACACAAAAAUCUGUCAUUUCAUCAAAUCAUAUGGUAAUCAACUAAGUUUGAACUUAGAUUGGAUUUUAAAAUCAAAUAGAAAUAACUUAGAUUAAAAAAAAUAAAAAAAAUAAAUAUAUAAAAAGAAAAAUCACCAAUUCAUCAAACAAACUCUUACUUGAAUGGAAUAACAUGAAUAUUGAUAUUAAUACAUCUAUAUCUAUAUCUAAAGUGAUAUAGAUAUGAAAUGACAAAUAUUUUGUUUACAUAUAUAUUAUGAUGUGUAAUCAAUUUACUUCUAAAAAGAGGAGAAAAUUUUAAGAAUAUUAAGGUAGAGGAUUCUAAGCAGAAUCUUAAGGGAUUAAAUAGUUUGAGUCCAAUCAUCAAUUAGUUGUAAUAAUAUCUUAAAACAGUUUUGUUAAAUUACUAAACAGAUUACAUCAAAGUUGUUAAAACAAUAUUUUAUUAAAUUAUAAAAAAGAUCAAAUAGAUUCAAUUAUCUAAAGAAGGGGUAGCACCGGAAAUGGUGACUACCAAGUCAAUAAAUAACCAAUGUUUUUGCACCACUUUGGUGAGUGGACGGCACCAUGGUUGUCACUCUGAUGGGAUGACAUCUUUAUCUAAAAAAGGUUGUUGCCCACUAAUUACGGGUUAAAAAAGUUGUCGCCCAGUGAUUACUUGAUAGACAUCAAGAUCUCUCAUAUCUCUCAGUAGUGGAAGACGACUGCUGGUGUGCUUUAGAAGUUGUUGCAUUUAGAUAGGUUAGGUGGUUUGUUAGACUCUUUGGAUUAGUUAGACUGUUACACAAUGGAUAUUAUGAAAGAAUAAAAAUAGAAGAAAGAGAGUUGAGUUUUCUGGAAAAACUUUCGUUACUUUCGCUUCGUUAACCUCAACUUUUAUGACACAUCCUAAUCUUCUCCAACCUCCUUACCUCCGGUGACUGUAACAACACUCCAGAAUCCACUCAUCAAACGGAAAAAAAAAAAAGUUAAAGUAGUAGAGAUUUUUAUGAGGGAUUAAAUUAAUACAUUUGGGGCAACUCAUCCAUUCAAUAAUUAAUUUUUUUUUCGAUAGUUCAAUUUAUCGACUUCUGAUAUCCAACAAAAUGGGAAAACUUUUGAUAUCCUCUAUCUAAUAUAAUAAAACCGAUUCCUGAUCACUCAAGGAAAAGAAGGAAAAGAUCAAUGUAUCUGUAAACCUAGUUUCAUAUACUACCACAUCCUCAUCAGACAUUAAUUAAUUCCUAAUCACUCAAGGAAAAGAUAGAUGUAUUUGUAAACUUGAAAUUUGUCCAAGGGUCUUUUUGAACCCAUUGAAUUAGAAAUAUUUUUACCCUCUUAUACUUAACCUAUAAACUUUUUAUAUUUGUUUUGGAAAGAGAGAAAAUCAGAAGUUUUUAAGGGUAAAAUUAGGAUGUUUUGAGAGAAGAGAGAAAAUUAUUUUUAGAGAAAAUUAUAAUUUUUUUUAAGGGGGGGCUUUUUCUCACAACCAAGGAAGAGAGAGAGGGAGAAGAAAAGAAAAGAUAGAGAGAGAGAGAGAGAAAAGGAAUGAAAAGGAGGAUUUUGUGACAGAAGAAUUGUAUAGUAGGGUAUUUUCAUGUUGUACCCGUUGAAUAUGGUCAUAACUAUACACUUUUCUACUCGUAGAGAGUAAAGGUAGUGUUAUUGUUUUACUCAAUCGAGAUAUAACAUGAUCAAUAUUCACCAUCAACCAUUGAAUUUGAGCAAUUUUUAAAAGGUCAAUGAUUUUAAUUUUAUAUUUGUUUACAUAUGAUAAUUAAAAUCUCAAUUUGGAAAAAAAAAAUCCAGUAAAAUGUUUUUUUUUUAAAAAAAACAAAACAAAACCAAAAACAAAUUUGAAUGAAGAUUAACUAAUGGGGAUGAUAUGUACCUUUGAUUUGUCAAUAAGAAGCAACUUUUCCCAAAAAUAAUUACCAGGACAAUGCAGGUGUCACACAACCAUGCUGACCAUAAUGAUUUUAUUUCUAUAACAAAAAAUUUAUCAUCUCAUGGAAUUAACACAACAAUCAAUGAAGUUUAAACUUGGUUUGAAGUUUAGAAUCAAAUUGAGAUAACUUAGAUUUUCUAUAAAUACUUCAAAUUAGGAAAUUGAAAAUAUAGGAAAUAAGUUUUUCAUAAAACAUAUUAAAAUAUCUUCUAGAAAUAACAAUACAAAAAAUAUGGAAUGAUCACUUAAUGCAAAUUAGAUUAAGAAAAAAAAUCAACAAUUUGGACAAACUCAUACUUGAAAUGGAAUAACAUGAUGUACUAAUGUCUCUAAUCUCUAAUGUGAUAUAGAUAUAAAAUGAUAAAUAUUUUGUUGAAAUAUAUAUUAUGGUACAUAUGCAAUCCAAUUAAUGAAUAGAAAGCAAAUUCUAAGUACAAGGCUGAUGGAUUAAUUAGUUUGAGUGCAACCAUCAUUGAGUUUGUAAUUAUAUCAAAGAUGUUAAAUUAAUUUAAUAAAUAGUAAACAGAUUAUAUAGAUUGAAUUAUCCUCUGAAAAAAGAGUAGCAUGGGAAGUUGGACUACGAAGUCAAUAGCCAAUGCUUGUGCACCACUUUGUUAAGUUGUGUGUCUUUUUCUUUUCUUUUUUUCUCCUUUGGUAAUUGGACUGCACCAUGGUGUUGUCAAUCUCCAUAGGACUACACUGAAGCCUUUUCCACCACCCUAGACCCCUUUUUCCCAAAAAAGGGUUGUUGCCCACUGGUCACUUUCCCUCCGUUAACCUCAGCUUUUAACUUACCCUAAUCUCCUCCAACCUUUAUCAACUACCAACUCAAGGAUCGAUCACUGCAAUAAUCAUUGAGUUGUAAAUAUAUGGAAGUUGUUGAAACAUUUUUAUUGAAUAUAUACAGGGUAAUGCAUUGAAUUGCCUUCUAAUAAAAAAGGAGUAGCAUUUUGAUGUGAGACUUCACAAUCAAUAACUAAUGCUUUUGCACCAUUCAGACAACUACAUGUGAAAGUGGUGUUAUUCUUAAUCUUUUUUAAAUACAUAAGCCAGUUGCACGGUCCAGAUUGAACCACCUUCAUCCAAUGGCCAAAAAUGUUUUUUCGGUAGGUACCGAAGUGGUGCGAAUUUUCCAUUAGUUAGACUGUUACACAAUGGAAAAUUCUGCGGUACGGAAGUGGGUACGGUACCUGCCGUUGCCCCUGUUAGAAAAUUCUAAAGUUGAUCAACUUUUCAGGUUUCUUUCUCGGUUUUGGUAGGACUGCACUGUCGUUGCCCCUGCUUGCACUCCAUGACCCACUUUUUUCCAAGGAGGUGGUUUCCCACCAAUUUUUCUCUUCUUGAAUACACCAUUAGAUCGUGAUAUGCGGACAGCUCUAUAUGCAAAUUGAGUUUUGUCUCCUGUGGAAAGUGGAAUGUGGAAUGUGGAAUGUGGAAUGUGGACUACAGCACCGUGAUAACCCACUCUUCACUGCACCAGGCUUGACCCGAGGUUAGCUCUUUUGUCCUUUUGGAAAACUGCACCGCAGCUGUCCCUUCUUGACCGGCUCAACCCACUUCUCCAAGAGAGGUUGAGGGUGUCUUGUCCCUUUGGGGAUCACCACACAGGGUUUACCCAGCAAUUACUUUGUUCUUUCUUCAUUCUUCCUACAUUUCUCCAAUUCCAUUAUGAAAUGCAAAUGCUUGUUGCAUUGUUUUGAGUGUGUCCAGCUACAGACAGUUGCAGCAGCUCUGGUCAUAAUCCAUGCUUUCAGUGAUGUGUAGGAAAUAUCAAAAUUUAUGUUUGGUCAUGCAGAAAAUGACAGCUGAAUUAUAAUUUUUAUGGGAGUUAGAAAAGUCUUGCUUCUUUGAUGAUUAUUCAAAGAUUCAAUCAUGAAAUCCAGAAAAUGUAAACUUCAUGUAUAUAGGUUUGGAAUUUAUACAAAGAAAGAGGCGCGAUAUGACAUCUUUUAGCAAAUUUUUACUUACAAAAUAGGGAUUGGUAGUUGAAAAUUUUAUUAUUAUUGAUCUACCAUUUCCAAGUAAAAUCAUCAAAACCUUCUAAAUUUAAUUAUUCUUUUAUUAAAGGGUUGUCAAAUUUCUUGUUAAUAAAGUUUCAUAGAAGAUAAAAAAAUAAUAUUAUAAGGUAUAAUACAAGUACUUUUUAAUAAUGAUAUUAUUAUUAUUAUUAUUAUUUGUAUUUUGUCUAUCAUUUUAUAUUUAUAUAUAUAAAUAUAAAUCAGUCUCCAAAAGCGGUUGAGGGUGUUCUUGUCACUUUAGGGACCACCACACAGGGGUCACCCAAUAAUUACUUUGUUCCUUCUUCAUUCUUCCUACAUUACUCCAAUUGCAUUAUGACAUGUGCAAAUGUCGUAGAAUUGUUGAAUAUGUCUAACGAGAGACAGUUGCAGCAGCUCUGGUCCUAAUCCAUGCAUUCAAUGAGGUGUAGGAAAUACCAAACUUUGUGUUUGGUCAUGCAGAAAAUGACUUUGGAAUUAUAAUUUUUAUGGGAGUUGGAAAAGUCUUGCUUCUUUGAUGAUUAUCCAAUGAUUCAAUCGGGACAAGCAAAAAAUGUAAAUCUUCAUGCAUAUAGGUUUGGAAGUUAUUUCUUCAGAAAAUAUAAAUAUCCACUAAACAUUAAUAUAGUUGAAAAUAAAAAAACAUAUAUAAUAAAAAACAUAUAUUAUAAAUUAGAACAUCUUCUUACUUUAUAGUAAUUUCCUUAAAAAAAUUACUUUAUAUUCCACUAAACAUUAGCCUUUUAAAUCAACUGAUGUUUCACAAACAACUUUAAUUUGUUUCAAAUGAAAGAAGUCGACAUUUGUAAUUAUUAUUGCACCUUUAUUACUUUUCAAAUCCCAUUUGUAAAAAUAAAUAUUAGGACCCACUCUUAUACACAGAACGCAACGUUUCUCUUUCAAUGGCGUGGUUUUGGAAUAUUACGUGCCUUGGCUAUAUAAAGAGGUCGAGGUUCAAGGUUGGAAUAUGUAAAAAUCAGCGGUAAGAGAUCGGUGUGAGAUACAUGGAUUUGGCAAACGGUGUGAUAUCAGCUGAGCUGCUUCAUGCUCAAGCUCAUGUCUGGAAUCAUAUAUUCAACUUCAUAAAGUCUAUGUCACUAAAAUGUGCUAUUCAACUAGGCAUCCCAGACAUCAUCCACAACCAUGGCAAGCCCAUGACUCUUCCUGAGCUGGUCGCUAAGCUCCCAGUCCACCCUAAAAGGAGUCAGUGCGUGUACCGUCUCAUGCGCAUUCUUGUUCAUUCUGGCUUCCUUGCUGCGCAAAGAGUCCAACAAGGUAAGGAAGAAGAGGGGUAUGUGCUUACAGAUGCCUCUAGGCUCCUUCUAAUGGAUGACUCCUUGAGCAUAAGGCCCUUGGUGCUUGCCAUGCUCGACCCAAUUUUAACUAAACCAUGGCAUUAUCUGAGUGCUUGGUUUCAAAAUGAUGAUCCCACUCCGUUCCACACUGCUUACGAGCGGUCAUUUUGGGAUUAUGCCGGCCAUGAACCCCAGCUCAACAAUUCCUUCAAUGAAGCCAUGGCUAGCGAUGCUCGCUUACUCACCAGCGUGCUGCUUAAGGAGGGCCAGGGCGUAUUUGCGGGGUUGAACUCAUUAGUUGAUGUAGGGGGUGGCACAGGAAAAGUGGCCAAGGCCAUUGCUAACGCUUUCCCACAUUUGAACUGCACCGUGUUAGAUCUCUCCCACGUGGUUGCUGGCUUGCAAGGGAGCAAGAACUUGAACUACUUUGCAGGUGAUAUGUUUGAGGCAAUUCCUCCUGCAGAUGCAAUUUUACUCAAGGUAUACCCCAAUUUUCUCUUGUCAGUUACAUAACGUUGUCUGGAUCACAAAGAAUAAGAAAAAAAAAAAUUUUAAAUGUUCAAAAAACAAAAAAAAAAAAAAAAAAAAUUCAUUUUACGUUGUCGGUCAGUCCGGGUUCAAAUAUGCUACAAGUUAUAUAGGGGUUCGGCUGGAAAAGCCAACUGAAAUAAGGUCACCGAUCACAAAAUACUAGGUGUCGAAUUCAUCAUGUGGCUCUUUCAUAGUUAGUUUUUAUCCAUGGACAUGAAUUGAAUUGGAUUUCUGGUGAAGCUUUCUCCAUCCGAACCUAAUUAUAUACUUCCAUGUCUAACUGGAAUUCAAAUGACUAGUGGAUACUGCACGACUGGAGCAAUGAAGAAUGCGUGAAGAUACUAAAGCGAUGCAGGGAAGCAAUUCCGAGCAAGGAAAACGGAGGAAAGGUGAUUAUCAUAGACAUGAUCAUGAUGAAGAAUCAAGGAGACUACAAGUCCACAGAAACACAGCUGUUCUUUGAUAUGACGAUGAUGAUUUUCGCCCCGGGUAGAGAGAGGGACGAGAACGAAUGGGAGAAGCUAUUCUUGGAUGCUGGUUUCAGUCACUACAAGAUAACUCCCAUUUUGGGUUUGAGGUCCCUCAUUGAGGUUUAUCCUUGAUGCUCUUUUUGUUUGUAGUAUGGCAAAUUUAUGCAUGGUUAAUUCACAAAGUCUGCUAAGAUUAAGAUGGUUCUUGCUCCGUUUGAUUGGGCAGAAGUACUGUUCAUCUUUGUUAUAUGAAUUUCAAUAAUAAUAAUGACUUUCUUCAUAUAAUCUACGUGUUUGUUUUGGAGUAAUGAAUUAUUAUUUUCUGUAAUAUUAAAUUUGGUGGUUCAUGGUUGAGUAGUGUUAGAGUGCAUGAUUGUGUGCCUAAAUUCUAUAAGUUUAAAAUUUUAGAAAAAUUGGUUGUUUAAUAUGAUAUUAUACCCUCUUUGAAUCUCAUCCUCUAUGUUUUUCCCUCAAUUUAUCAAAAAGAAGAAAAGAAAAAAAUUACCUUUCCAUUUUAUUAAAGCCAUGUGUAAGUUCAAAGAAAGUCGACUCAUGAAAUGAUUGUAGAUUCAAAUCCUUAAGGUUACGUUUGGUUAUCGAAAAAUGUGAGGAAAACUACGAUGAAAAUAAAAUAGAGAGGAAAAGUAAAAAAAAAAAGAAAAAAGAAAAAAGAAAUAAAAAUAGAUUUAAGGUUAUUAAAUUAUUUUAUAUAUUACUUCAAACUCAUUUAAUUUAUUUUUCUACUUCUGCAUAAAGAUUAAAUAAUUUAAAAAUAUAUAAAUUUCUAACUAAUUUUAGUGAUAUUUAAUUUUUUUUAAUAUAGAGACCAAACAUGAAAAAAAUCAUUUUUCUUAAUAUUUUUUUGGUUCCUCGAUACUUUUUGUAUGUUUCAGUCAUUUUUUUUUUAAUGAUAUAAAAAAGAUUUGUUAAACAUUAUUAAGAGAGAAAAGGUUGAAAUUUUCUUUUCAAAAGAAAACCUCUCCAAAUCAAUUAUGAAAAGGAGACUUUUCAAGGGUGAAAGUUUAUUACUCUUUUUAUUUAAAGGACUUAUUUUUGUCUUAGUAAAAAAAAAAAUGAAAAUGAGGAUUAACUAAACAGGAAAGGUGAUUCAAAGACAAGGAUAAGAAGGGUGAUGAAGAAUGGAAAAGCCUUCAUACUAAAAAAAAAGUCCCUCUCUUCCAAUCAUUUAUACUGAGACUGAACAAAAGUGUAAGGUAAAGAAUUUUGUAUGUAUUUUGGGAUUAAAAUCGAUCGUAUGUGUAUUGUAGAGUACGUACAUAAUAGGCAUGAGAAAUUGUUAAGAUAUCUAUGGAUAAGAAAUUUAUUGUGUGGAGAUUAUUAUUAUUAUACAUUUUUUUAGCUAGUUAGUUGGUGAGAAAAUGCAAACCCUAAUUUUGUGGGUUCCCAUUUGUAAGAAUUUUUUUGAAGUCAUAUAUUUUAAUGGAGUUGCAAAUUAUUGGAAUACUAAAUAGAAGGAAAAUUUAGGCCACGUUUGGUUCUUAGAAAACUUGAGGGAAAAUGUGAAGGAGAGAAAAGAAAGGAAAAGUGAAAGGAAAAGUGGAAGGAAAGUGAAAGAAAAUAAAAAAUAAAUAAAUUUAAAUUCAAUAAAUUAUUUUUAUAUGUUUCUUCAAACUCAUUUGACUUACUUCUCACCAUUAUAUAAAGAUUAAAUAAUUUAAAAAUAUAUAAUUUUUUUUACAAAUUUUAAUUAUAUUUUAUUUUCUUUUGUAUUUUUCAUGGUGAAACCAAGCAUGAGAAAAUCAUUUUCUUUGCCUUUUUUUUUUCCUUUCGUCAGUACUUUUCAAAAACCAAGCAUAAGCUUAAUGUUUGAUACUUGAAUCAAAUAUGUUUAAGUAGGGAAUAAAGGAGGAAGGGCGACCUGCAUUUGAAAAAGAAAAAGGAAAUGUAAGAAGUUGUAGUAAACGAGGCUUAGAAAUUACGAGAAAUACAAUUUUGGGAGGGUUAUGCAUGGGCAGGCCUGUGUAUUUGAAACGAUCCCUAUGGACCUUCAUUUUCAUCAUGCGCUCCCCACUCGAUUGGUGAGAUUCGCUUUUGAUUAAAGUGAAAAAUUGUACAUAUAUAAAAACUUAGAGUUGUCACUUACUUUUAUUUAUUUUGUAAAAAGAAAUCAAGUAAUAACAAAAUAAAAAUAAAAAUGACUCCUAGUUUAUUUAGAAAAGUUGUAUAUGGAAAACUCGAGUUUGGGUUCGGGGAUCAAAUUACUUAUUGGAAAGGUACAUCAAGGAGGUAACACCCCUUUAAGCCCUAAAAUAAUCUCUACUAGCUGAGUUAAGGGAAAUACAAUAAUUAAUCAAAUGAUUAUGAAUACCUAGAUAGGUUAAGGUGAUUUUAAAAGUCUACUAACUCUAGUAUGUCAAACAAGGAUUCAAACCACAAUCAUAAAGAAAGGAUAAUAUGCGUACUUGGAUUUGCAACUUAAAUGCUAUCACAAAAUAUCAAAGUUAGUUCAGUUAUUAUCUCACUCAACAUGCAUUUUAUCAUAGGAAGUCAUCAAGGCACCCAAAGUCAAUAUCAACACAUGGAUAUAGUUUCCAAUGACAUACAUAUUCAUAGAACUUUGAAAUGAGAAGAUAGAGAGCGUACCUGAGUAGCAAACAUUAGCGUUUUUAUAAAAAUGAGGUUAAUUCACAAAUGAUAAUAAUAAGAUUAAUGAAUAAUAAAAAACUAAACCUAUAUAUAUAUAUACUUAGCAUGUCUCAAGUCAAGGAAAGUUCACAAGCAUGUUCAAAAGGGACCAAAUUAUCAAAAGCAAAGGAAUUAUCAUUAAUAGGUAGAAUAUCGGUUCACAAAAUAAACUCCAAAUAAAUAUCAAGAAAUGUUAUCUUACCAAAAUAAAAAGUAGGUAACAUCUUUAACAUGUCCAGAUUAACACCCAAUAGACCAAAUUAAUCAAUUAUAUUCCAAUUAAUAUCAAAUUUAUUCACAAGUGGGUUACUUCACAAAAAAAUCAGCAAAUGAUCAGAAUAUAUUCCAAUUAAUAUCAAAAUUUUUCAAAUAUGCAUACCGAAUAAAUUUGGUUGCAUGAAUUUUGGAAAAUUGACAUUUCUUUACCUAAUUGAUCUAAGAUUAAUUUUAAAAUGAAGUUAGAAGAUUAAUUUGGCUAUAUAAAAAAAGUUAAAACAAAUUUUAAAAAAUAUUAAAACACAUAGAAUCUCAAACACAAACUAUCAAGAAAAAAUGUAAAUGUGUAUAUGUGAAUUCUCUAGUGUGCCAUGAUGAAACUCAAGUGUCCUAAAUAUUAACCUAAGGUGCAGCUACAUUUAAGACUAAUUAUGUCUUAAUUUGGGUCUUAAAUUAUGAUACAAAAGUAUCCUAAGUGUGUGCCUAAUUAAGCCUAGACAAGCAAUCAUCUAUUGGUGCCAAACGUAUGUGAAUUAUGAUAGGUAAGCCGAAAACUUGCAUUAGCCGAAAAUGAAAAAUCAAGGAGGCAUAAAACCUAAUUAAUGCAUUUAUUCAAAGCCCAUUGUCAUGCAAUUUUCCAAUGCUUAUUCAAAUAAAAGAGUUUGAAGAAAAAUUAACCCAAUCUCAAUCAUAAUUUAUCAAACAAUCAACAUUCAAUCAAACAAAUUCCCAAAUGUCAAAUCGAAUAACACUCAUGUGUGGCCCGAUUUGUCCACACCCAACCUAUUCUAAUGUAUUCGAAAGAAAUAAAUAAAGAAGAAGAUAUGAAAAAUUAAAUCAGAAUUAGGACAAUUAGAUAAUUCAUCACAAGGUGUCCAAAAUUCUAUUAAUACCUUGAUGUUCUCCAAGUUGUGUUCGACUCAUCUCUGCUACAGUUUCAGCAAAACCUUCUUGUGACCCUUAAUGUCCACACCAAACAACAAACGACAUCGGAAGAUCGACAGAAAAAAGAAAAGGAAUGCAUGAUAAUUGAAAUGAACCAAUGAACCAGAAACUUACUACAGCCAUACCUAUAACAACUCCUCCAAACCUUGUUGACCAAGCUUCAAGCAAGUUGCAUCCCCUCCUAUAGCUGAUAAAAUGACUAGCCCUCAUUCUCUGUCCUUUAAAUGUCUUCUCCUUUAUUUUCCUUUAUGUUUUCCUUUUGUUUCUGGUUCUUUCUCUCUCUCUUCGAGCGCUCUUUGAAUUUUUUCCUCUGUACCUCUUUGUCCCUAUCUCUGCUUUUCCUUUAAAAAUCAGAACUUUUUCUUUUUCUUUUUCUCCUCAGAAUCCUUCAUCUAAAAGACUUUUUUCUUUUGUUUCUGGUUGCACACACAUUGCAGCUAUAGCAGCCACCUGAAUAACCUCUUUCAUGGAGUAUUGACCCUCCAGUGCUGGAUCCAUUAUCUGUACAACCUUCUCUCUAUCUGUGAGGUGGGGCAAAGCCUGUAGCAAAACCGAUAGACAACAUGAGAUAGUCCGUAAAGUCAGAAUGAAGUAAAAGUGUGUGUGUGUAUAAGCGAGAGACAGAGAGUAAGUAAGAGAUAUAGGGGAAAGGAAGAGAAGGACAGAUAGGGGGAGAGGUAGGGAGAGGGAGGGAGAGAAGGAUGGAUACGGGGAGAGGUAGGGAGAUGGGAGAGGGGGAGAGAUAGGAAGGAGAUAGAGAGAUAGAGAGAGAGAGAGAGAGAGAGACUAGAAUAAGAGAAAGUAUGCCAAAGAAGCGUGUGUGUAUGUUUGGGCAUGUGUGGCAUGCACAUGUGCAUGUGUGUGUGUGUGUGAGAGAGAGAGAGAGAGAGUAAAAGAUAAGAGAAAGGAUGCCAAAGAUGAGCUCCUCUAAACUAAGUAAAAAGGUGGAAGAGAGUUGUUAAUAUAUUAUGAAUCAUUUUAUUGCAGUGGAAUCAACUAAGCAGACAUGAGGAGCCCACCCAAGAUACAAGAACACCUUCCCCAGAAGCUCUCUUCAUAUCCACUGGAACUCUGCCAGUGAGCAACUCCAAAAGGACAACCCCAUAGCUGUACACAUCUGAUUUUGUUGUUAGAUGGCCAGUUAAUGCAUACCUGUACCGCAAACCAAUACCAAAUUCGUAAUUAGUUGGCAUCAAAGUUUUACAUAAUGAACAACUAAUAUUACAUGCAGGGAGCAGGUUAGAGGAUAAGUUAUUGCAAGUUUUCUAGGUCUUUAAAAUUGUUUUCAAUCAUUGGCUCUUCAUAAAUGUCUUACAUCUUUUUCGACUUCUUAAUACUUAAAUAUUUUUUCACAAGAAGGUCGUUUUUUAUUAAUAUUUAUCUUUCUUUGUUCAUUUUAUUAAUGAAAACUAAUAUGCAAGCAUGCAGAGUAUGGUUCAGAGGGAAUAGCAUCCACAAAAGGUGAUAUAUAUAGUUAUGGGAUCAUGCUGAUGGAAACUUUUGUGAGGAAGAAGCCUACAGAUGAAAUGUUCGUGGAGGAACUAACCUUGAAGAGUUGGGUGGAGUCAUCAGCCAACAACAUAAUGGAGGUUAUAGAUGUCAAUCUUCUAACAGAAGAAGAUGAAAGUUUUGCCUUAAAACAAGCUUGUUUUUCUUCCAUCAUGACAUUGGCCUUGGAUUGUACCGCUGAGCCUCCUGAGAAGCGAAUUAACAUGAAAGAUGUUGUGGAUAGACUCAAGAUCUUCAACAAAUUGCUGAUAUAAGGACUCCACAAUUAAGAAAAAAAAAAAGGCAUGAAGAUCAUGUCCCUUUCUUCCACCCUGAGCUUGUUUAAGAGUUCACAAAUCAAGAAUUGAGGGACCAUUGGGCAUGGCCUGCUAGGCAGUUGAAAGUUCCUCAUUAUAUGAACCCUAUGCAAAUUAUGCUCAAGUGUUUGUGUAGUUCCAUCCAUUUUCCCUAAUGUAAUUCAACUUGAAUAAUGUCAUGGGUCUGAAUGCUUUUAUUUUGUAUUUUUCUAAUAGCAUAAUAUUAAGUGAAGGUGCCCAAUGCGUAACUUCUAGAAGAACAUUUCGUGCUUUUCUUUUUAAGAUAUGAUAGACUUUACUACAAUAAAUUAUUUGUCUAUAAUUGAUCACUUUAGCAAACUGUCUGGUCAAAAUUGACCUUUGCUUGCAGACAUAUCUUACUUAAUUUCUUAUAACUUGCAAUUACUUCCAGAUUAUGUAUAAUUGAAUUUCGCUUAUUUCAAAAUUAUGGCUCAUGAGAAUUAAGAAGUUCGAUGUGUCUUUCAUCUUCCAAACAUGUUUUAUGGUUUGAAAAGAAUAUAAUAUAAAUUGACAAAAGUUAGCUAUUGAAAGAAUAGAGUAAAAGUGGUGCUCAUUUUACUUAAUCAGAUAUAUGACAUGAUCAAUAUUUAUCAUGUAAUCUGAACAAUUUUGAAAAGGUCAAUAAUUUUAAUUUUGUGUUUGUAUUUGUGAGAAUUGAGAUCUCAAAUUUGAAAAAGAAUUUAGAAAAAUUAAUGUUAAAAAAAAAUGAGUGAAGAUUAACUUUGGGGAUGAUAUAUACAAGUCAUUUGUCAAUAGGAAAUAACUUUUUUGAAAAUAACCAUCAUGGUAAUGUGGGUGUCACAUAGCACUGCUAACCAUGGUUUUGUUUCUAUAAACUAAAAUUUGUCAUUUCAUCAAAGUCAUAUAGCAAUCAACAAGUUCGAACUCAGAUUGAAUUUUAGAAUCAAAUAGAUAUAACUUAGAUUUCCUAUGAAUACUACAAAUUAGGAAUUUGAAAAUAUGGGAAAUAAGACUUUCACAAAAUAUAUUAAAACGUCUAGUAGGAACAAUAAUCCUAAAAAAAUAUGGAAUUAUUUAAGUAAAUUAGAUUAAAAAAAAAAAUCAGCAAUUCAUCAAACAAAUUCAUACUUGAAUGAAAUAUCAUGACCAUUAGAAUUGAUACAUCUAUACCUAUAAAAGAAUAUUAAGGUAGGGAAUUGUAAGCACAAGGUUAAGGAAUUAAUUAGUUUGAGUCCAAUUAGAUGUAAUUAUUAUUUCGAAGUUGUUAAACAAUUUAUUAAAUUAUUAAACAGAUUACAUAGAUUAAAUUAUGAAAAAAAAGAAGAAGAGUAGCAUCGGAAAGUGUGACUACCAAGUCAAUAACCAAUGUUCUUGCACCACUUUGGUAAGUGAACUGUUAUCACUCUGGAUGGGAUUACAUUGAAGCCCUUGUUCACCUCUGAGGACAUUUUUUCCAAAAAAGGUUGUUGCUCACGAAUUACUUGACAGACGUUAAGAUCACUCACAGCUCUCACCGAUCUCACCGGUGUAACGGCUGCUGCUUGCUUCAGAAGUUGUUGCACUUCUUAAGUUGGGUAGUUUGUAAGACUUUGUUAGAUUAGUUAAGACUGUUACACAAUGGAAAAUUCUAUGGCACCGAAGUGGGUACCGCACCUGCAAAAUUCCUGUCGUUAGAUCAAAAGCUUCCAAUCACGACUGAAUGCCUUUGCACAACUUAGCCGGACAGCUCCAUGUGCAAUUGGUGUUUUUUUAACCAUCGUUGCCUCUUCUUGAAUACGCUUUGCUUGACCAACUUUUCAGGUUUCUUUCUUGGUUUUGGUAGGACUGCACUGUUUUUGCCCCUGCUUGCACUCCAUGACCCACUUUUUUCCAAGGAGGUGGUUUCCAAUCAAUUUUUCUCUCCUUGAAUACGCCAUUAGAUCGUGAUAUGCGGACAGCUCUAUAUGCAAAUUGAGUUUUGUCUCCUGUGGAAUGUGGACUACAGCACCGUGAUAACCCACUCUUCACUGCACCAGGCUUCACCUGAGGUUAGCUCUUUUGUCCUUCUGGAAAACUGCACCGCAGCUGUCCCUUCUUGACCGGCUCAACCCACUUUGUUCUUUCUUCAUUCUUCCUACAUUUCUCAAAUUGCAUUAUGACAUGCAAAGUUUUGUUGAAUUGUUUUGAGUAUGCCCUGCUAGAGACAGUUGCAGCAGCUCUGGUCAUAAUCCAUGCUGUCAGUGAUGUGUAGGAAAUAUCAAUUUUUACGGGAGUUAGAAAAGUCUUGCUUCUUCGAUGAUUAUCCAAAGAUAGGUUUGGAACUUAUUUCUUUAGAAAAUGUAAAUCUUCAUGUAUAUAUAUGAAUCUCCAACAAUCCCUACUUUCUUUAAAAUGAAAGUAUUAACUUUAAAUCAAUUACAUAAAUUCCUUAUUCCACUCGCUUUCAAAUGAAAGUAUUCUUAUAGAAUAGAUAUUAACUUUAAAUACUUUAUCAAAUAUUCCACCACUAAAACUCAAUGGCAAAAACAAUGAAGGAUAGAAAAUAAAAAAUAAAAAAUAAAAUUAUUUUAUAUAAAAUGAAAUAAAAAUACCUUUGAACCUCUUCAUGUAUAUAGGUACCGUUUGGAGUUAUUUACGACUGAUUUCUUCAAUGUUGUCUAGAAUAUAUACUAGAGAUAGCUCAAAUACUCACAAUCAUACACAAAGAAAGAGGAGCGAUAUACCAUCUUCUUACUUGCAAAAUGGGGAUUGGUAGUUGAAAAUUUUAUUAUUAUUAAUCUACCAUUUCCAAAGUGAAACCAUCAAAACUUUCUAAAUUUGAAUUUCUUGUUAAUAAAGUUUGAUAGAAGAUAAGCAAAAUAAAAUUAUAAGGUAUAAUAUAAGUACUUUUUAAUAAUAAUAAUAAUAAUAAUAAUAAUAACAUUAUUAUUAUUAUUAUUAUAGUUAUGGAUUUCCUUAAUAUAAUACAUUAGAUGUUCUUUAAGUAAAGGAAUAUUGUUAUUGCUUUUAUAAUAAUAUAUAAGAACAUUAGAAAAAAAUAGUUAAUGACAAAUUUAAUAAUCAUAAUUUAAUAUUUAAAACUACCAUCAACAAUAAUGAGAUUCGACAUCUAUAGAUUUUAGAGGAUUUAUAAUAUAAUCUUGUAAGAUUUACAUGUUUAAUUUACAUGAGCAAAUUACUAAUAAAUUAUUUAGUCCAAUAAAUCGCAAUAGAUGUGAUAUUUUAUUUGAAAAUAACUUUUAAAGUUUAAUACAUUAACUAGAUAAUAUUUGAAAAUAACAUUUAAAUUUUUUUAUAUAAUUAGUGUUGGUUUAAUUUUGUAAAAUAAAUUAACCUUAGUCUUUAAUUAUUUUCAUUAUCAAAGAGUCAAAAAUAAUGUGAAACUAAAAAUUUUAAAAAAAGGUUAAUUAAUACUACAGUUUUUUUUUGUUUUCUUUUUGGACUAAAAUUAUUCAUAUUUGCAACAUGAAAAACCAUAUCCUUGAGUAAAAAAUAUAUAUAUAUAUAUAUAUUACACAAUGUGUAUUGAACCAAACCAAAAAUAUAAAAUAUAAAACUUUGAAUAUACCUCCAUUUUUUUUUAUUUUUUUUUUUAGAAACAGAAAUAAAAAAGCUCUAUUUUUUUUUUAACUGUUUUCUUUUUUCAAAGUCUAAACAAAUAUUUUUUGUUUGUGCUAUAUAUUUGAAAACUAAAAUUUCCAUAAAAUUUUAUCAAAACUUUAAACAAGUAAUCAAUAUAAAAAGAUUAAUUUAAUCACUCAUAUUUCUAGUCAUUAAACUAAACAUUGUCAUCAACAAGUAUUUAACAUUUAUAUAACCUUGCUAAUCAAAAACAUAAAUAUGAUUUUUCUUAAUAUAUAUAUAUAUAUAUAUAUAUAUAUAUAUAUAUAUAUAUAUAUAUAUAUAUAUAUAUAUAUAUAUAUUAAUCAUUAUUUGGUUGCAUAGGAAUUUUAAGAAAUUUAAUUAUUUUACUAAGAAAUUCAUCAUGAAGCUUAAUUUGUAAAGUUACAAAAAAAGUCCAUGAAAUGGAGCUUUUUGUUGGAAGUUGAUAGCGUGGAAAUGAUGUCUCUGCUACUAAUGGGUUUGCAGUCCCUGUUUUUGCCAUGAGCCAUGUGCUCAUGUUUGUAUUGUGGGCUCUGGUUGCUGCUAUUCCUUGUCAGGACAGGGGCCUCCAGAUUCAUUGUUCAGUCCCCCGACGUUCCUCAUGGAGUGCUCCAUUUAUCUUGCUUCAAGAGAGAAUUAUGGAGGAUUCAAAGAAGCGGGAGCGACGGAAUUCUAGCGGGUUGUUGAAGGAGAUCAAUCAGAUGGAAAGGUGUGCGUCUCACAUGACAGACUUAGUGGAUUCUGUUCACUUUCCUCUGACGGAUGAACAUAAGACAGAAGCAGGACAGCAAGAGCAGUGAUGAGGUUUUCCACCUGGUCUGGUUCCUGCUCCGGGUUGAAAGUGCUGUCCCCAUAUUCAUCAGAGGAGGUGCAUGGCAAGGAUUCUGAAGAAGCAAGCCAAGUUACUGUUUGGCUUCUUAUGCCAUCUGAUCAGAUAAGAUGUGUUAUUGGGAAAGGUGGACAGACAAUUCAGAGUAUACGCAGUGAAAGUGGUGUACAAAUUCACAUUCUAAAGGAUGAUCACUUACCUUCUUGUGCAUUGAGUUCCGAUGAGCUUGUUCAGAUUUCUGGAGAACCCUCCCUUGUUAGGAAGGCUCUUUAUCAAAUGGCAUCUCGUCUUCAUGACAAUCCUUCCCGAUCUUGAAAACCUCGUCAACGAGCAGGUGUCUUCACAAACAUACUCCUUGGAUGCAAAUCUUUGCCUUCUCCGCCUCUACCAAUUUGAGCCAGAGCGAAUGAGUACCCAAAUCGUUGCUCAGAUUUUGGUGAAGGCCCUUAUGGCAAUGCCAGCUCCAGAUUUCAGCCUGUCUCUUUUUAAUUCCAGAACGAGUGCAAAUGGAGGAAUAGUUUUAAGACUUCGAUUGUUCUCUCACAUUAUUUGGAGACAGCAAGGUUCCGUCAGUUCUGGGAUGAAGCAGCUAAGAAUUGACACAUAGUUGAAGUUGUUCCAGGUUUUGAGCAAGAAUCCAAGCCUAUGCCAUUCACGUUAUUUCCUUGACUUAUCAAAAGGUUCCUAGGACUGUAUUUGCUGUUAUCAUUGGUGGAGUUCUUGAGAAGGAGGUGAGAACUGCAACACUAAAAGAACCCUCAGGCCAUCAGGAGCCCGCAUGGUGUUUUUCCACUGAAGAUGAGCUACCAUCUAGAGUCCAGAACCUCACCCCUUGCUUUCUGUCAUCACAUAAAUCCUCGUACCCCACUCUUGCAUGUCAUAUAUGGCCACCUUUCGUGGGCCAUUCUUAAAACCUACGUGUCCUACCUCCUAUAUUUUUAUGCAUGCCUCCAAAACUCGGUUUUCAAAAAUCCUGUUUCCAAAUAAUUUUAAUUCUUCAAUUUUUCUCUCUUGGUUUUAAAUAAAUCCAAUUUUAAUAAACCAAUUCCUACCAUUUUCCAUUAGGCAUGCAUCUUUUAUUUUUUUUUUAUUUUUUUUAUUUUUUUUUCUUAAUUUUAAAUAUUUUCUAUUUUUUAAUAAAAUUGGUUGCCACAUUUCUUUCCAACAAACACUUUUCACAAAUUCUCCUUGAUUUUUUUAAUAAUUUUCUUAUUUUCAUUUUUUUUAAUAAGCAUGAAUAAUUCUAUAAUUUCAAGUAAUGAAAUUUAUGAAGUUAACUCAUGCUAAAAUAAAUCGAGCUUUGGUGGGGCCCAACAUAUGGGAUUUUCUCAUUGAUCGAUUGAUUGCUAUGUUUAACUGGCUUGCCUCACUCUAUGGCAUGCAUACAAUCAUCUUGUAUUUGUGUACUAACCUUGUCUCUUAUGAUAGUACUUAGCUUACGAUUAAGGUACACCUCAUACCCGAUUGUGUUUAUUUAUUUAUUUGUUAUCAUGUGUGUCUUGUUUUCACACCCCUGAUUACUGUACGAUAUCAACAAUUAAUCAAUCAAUUGUCACACUUGUUUCACCUAAUUAGUAGAGACCCAUUUUAGGAGCUUAGAAGGGUGGUACGGUUUUUAUCGUAACUUCCCAAUAGGUAACCUGACCUCCGAAUUCAGACUCGAUUUUUCAUAGAUCUGUUUUUCCUUCAGGAGUCACAUUUAGGGUUUUCUUUCUUAUUUUAUUUUUCCUUUUAAAAAUAAAACAAAAAUAAGUGACGACUCUAAGUUAUUUUCUAAAAAAUAAAUCAUUUUUCGAAAUAAAAAGCGAGUCUCACCAUUUAAGUGGGAAACGCAUGCGUGUAGAAAUACGGGGUUCACAAAGGUAUAAUAUACGUACUUUUUAAUAAUAAUAAUAAUAACAACAUUAUUGUUAUUAUUAUUAUAGUUAUGGAUUUCCUUAAUAUAAUACGUUAGAUGCUCUUUAAGUAAAGGAAUAUUGUUAUUGCUUUUAUAAUAAUAUAUAAGAACAUUAGAGAAAAAACAGUUAGUAAUGUAUUUAUUGACAAAUUUAGUAAAUAUAAUUUAACAUUUACAACUACCAUCAAUAAGAAUGAGAUUCGACAUCUAUAGAAUUUAGAGGAUUUAUAACAUAAUCUUGUUAGAUUUAUAUGUUUAAUUUACAGUGAGCAAAUUACUAAUAAAUUAUUUAGUCCAGUAAAUUGCAAUAGAUGUGAUAUUUUAUAUGAAAAUAAUUUUUACGGAUUAAUACAUUAACUAUAUAAUAUUUGAAAAGAACAUUUAAAUUUUUUUAUAUAAUGAGUGUAGGGUUAAUUUUGUAAAAUAAAUUAGCCUUAGUCUUUAAUUAUUUUCAUUAUCAAAGAGUUAAAAAUAAUGUGAAACUGAUAAAAAACUAAACACACACAAAAAAGGUUAAUUAAUACUACAGUUUUUUCUUUUCUUUUUUUCUUUUUGGACUAAAAUUAUCCAUAUUUGCAGCAUGAAAAACCAUAUCCUUGAGUAAAAAAAAAUAAAAAAUUACACAAUGUAUAUUGAACCAAACCAGAAAUAUAAAUAUCCAUAUUUGCAGCAUGAAAAACCAUAUCCUUGAGUAAAAAUAAAAAAAUACUAACAAUGUGUAUUGACUGGCUUCACCUCCUAGGACAUCUUUCCCCGAAAAAAGGUCGUUGCUCACUAAUUACUUAACAGACGUUAAGAUCACUCACAGCUCUCACUGGUCUCACCGGUGUAACGGCUACUGCUUGCUGCUGUACUUCAGAAGCUGUCGCACUUCUAAAGUUAUAUAGGUAGUUUGUUAGACUUUGUUAGAAUAGUUAGACUGUUACACAGUGGAAAAUUCUACGGCACCGAAGUGGGUAGCGCAGCUGCAAAAUUCUUGUCGUUGGAUCAAAAGCCUCUAAUCAAGACUGAAUGCCUUUGCACCACUUAGCUGGACUGCACCAUUCGUAUUGCCUAUUCUUGAAUACACUUUGCUUGACCAACUUUUCAGGUUUCUUUCUCGGUUUUGGCAGGACUGCACUGUUGUUGCCCCUGCUUGCCCUCCAUGACCCACUUUUUUCCAAGGAGGUGGUUUCCCACCAAUUUCUUUCUUCUUGAAUACACCUUUAGAUCGUCAUAUGCUGACAGCUCUUCACUGCACCAGGCUUGACCCGAGGUUAGCUCUUUUGUCCUUUUGGAAAACUGCACCGCACUGUCCCUUCUUGACCGGCUCAACCCACUUCUCCGAAAGAGGUUGAGGGUGUCUUGUCCCUUUAGGGAUCACCACAUAGGGUUUACCCAGCAAUUACUUUGUUCUUUCUUCAUUCUUCCUACAUUUCUCCAAUUCCAUUAUGACAUGCAGAUGCUUGUUGCAUUGUUUUGAGUGUGUCCAGCUGGAGACAGUUGCAGCAGCUCUGGUCAUAAUCCAUGCUUUCAGUCAUGUGUAGGAAAUAUCAAACUUUAUGUUUGGUCAUGCAGAAAAUGACACCUGAAUUAUAAUUUUUAUGGGAGUUUGAAAAGUCUCGCUUCUUUGAUGAUUAUCCAAAGAUUCAAUCAUGAAAUGCGGAAAAUGUAAAUUCAUGUAUAUAGGUUUGAAACUUAUUUCUUUAGAAAAUGUAAAUCUUCAUGUGUAUAUGAAUCUCCUACAUUCCCUAAUUUCAAACCCAUAUCAAUGGUGUGUGUACCCCAUUUAUAUUUAUUACAACCAUCGGUUAUAUAUAUCACAUUCAAAACACCCACAAUCAUAUACAAAGAAUUUUAGCAAAUUUUUGGUUGCAAAAUGGGGAUUGGUAGUUGAAAAUUUUAUUAUUAUUGAUUAUUAUUUCAUUAGAGGGUUGUCAAAUUUCUUGUUAAUAAAGUUUCACAAAAGAACAGAAAAUAAAAUUACAAGGUAUAAUAUAUGUACUUUUUAAUAAUAAUAAUAAUAAUAUUAUUUGUAUUUUGUCUAUCAUUAUAUAUAUAUAUAUAUUGAUAAUUUAUUUAAAGUUAUAAAUUUGUUAAUAUUAUUACAUAGUUAUGGAUUUCUUUAAUAUAAUAUGCUAGAUGCUCUUUUGAGUAAAGGAAUAUUGUUAUUGCUUUUAUAAUAAUAUAUAAGAACAUUAGAAAAAAACAGUUAAUGAUGUAUUUUUUUGGCAAAUUUAAUAAUCAUAAUUUCAUAUUUGAAACUACCAAUAACAUAAUGAGAUUCGACAUCUAUAAAAUUUACAGGAUUUAUAACAUAGUCUAAUUAGAUUUAUAUGUUUAAUUUACAUGAACAAAUUAAAAAUAAAUUAUUUAGUUGAGUAAAUUACAAUAGAUAUGAUAUUUUAUAUCAAAAGAUAAUUUUUACUGAUGAAUACUUUAAAUAUAUAAUAUGGGAAAAGAUCAUUGAAAAGUAUUAAUAAACUGAGGUGGUGUUUGUUUUUUUACUUAAUUCUAAAUAGAACCUUAAUGCUUAAUAGUGUCAAAUAUUAGAUUGUUUGUUUUUGUAGUAUUUUAUUUCUAUUAAGUAUUAAAAAAAUAAAAAUAAAAACAAUAUGUUAUUUUUUCUAUUUAGAAAAAGCUACAUAUUUUAACUUUUUCUAUUUAGUAAAAAGUUUAUAAUAAGUCAUGAAAAAUAGAAAAAUAAACAACCUAAAUUCUAAAACUAAAUUGUUUUCAGCAAAAAGCCAAAAAAAACAAACACCACCUGAGUGUAGGGUUAAUUUUGUAAAAUAAAUUAUCUUUAGUCUUUAAUGACUUUCAUUAUCAAUGAGUUAAAUUAAAUUCAAUACAUUGAACUAUCAUACCAAAUGCUUUUCACUUUGAUUGAUUUAGCAAUUAUUAUAAAGCUUAUAAUUUUUAGAAAAUAAGAAAAUAAAUCUUAAAAAUCAUUCACAUAAGGUAGACAGCUCUAUUUGCAAGUGGAACUUUGUCUACUGUGGCAUGAGGACUACGGCACCAUGAUUGCCCACUCUUCAGUGCACCAGGCUUGACCCGGGUAGCUCUUUUGUCCCUUUUGGAAAACUGCACCGUAACUAUUGCCCCUUCUUGUCCGGCUUAACCCACUUCUCCAAAAGCGGUUGAGGGUGUUCUUGUCACUUUAGGGACCACUACACAGGGGUUACCCAACAAUUACUUUAAUAUGUCUAACGAGAGACAGUUGCAGCAGCUCUAGUCAUAAUCCAUGCAUUCUAUGAGGUGUAGGAAAUACCAAACUUUGUGUUUGCUCAUGCAGAAAAUGACUCUGGAUUUAUAAUUUUUAUGGGAGUUGGAAAAGUCUUUGCUUCUUUGAUCCAUGAUUAUCCAAUGAUUCAAUCAGGACAAGCAGAAAAUGUAAAUCUUCAUGUAUAUAGGUUUGCCAGUUAUUUCUUCAAAAAAUAUAAAUAUUCAUGUAUAUAUGAAUCUCCAACAAGCCCUAAUUUCACCCCUAUAAAUUCGAUAUUUCACUCCUAUAAUUUGUGUCAUGCUUCCAUAUUAUAUUACUCUUCUCCAAUAAUCGUUGAAUCUGCUUUAUUAAUUCUACUCCAAUAUCUCUUAAUUUCGCUUUCAAGGACAAAGUUAUAAAUCUUCUAUUCUAUUAAUUUAUAUCAUGAUCUAAUUGCUUUGUGUCCUUAGUCACAUUGCUUUGUACCCUUGAUCACAUUGCUUUGUAGAGAGGUUUCAUUUCUUCAUGUUUUUGUCCCAAUUGGUUGAUCGUACCAUAGUUCCUUUUGCUUUGCAUCCCCAUUGUUACAAAAUCAAAUAAAUAAGUUAUACUCAACUCUCAAUGGUGUGCACCCAAUUCAUUUGUAUUACAACGUACCAUAUGCUAUAUAUCACAUUCAAAUGGAAGUAUUCUUAUAGAAUUGAUAUUGAUGUUAAACACUUGACCAAAUGUUUCAUUAUUUAGACCAAAGCUCAAUGGCAAAAACAAUGAAGGAUAAAUCAUUAGAUAAGGUAGACUUUAGGAUUUUAAUUGAGCUAAAAUAUUUUUAUUAGAUUAUUAAAAACCGGAUGCAUGCUCAAACCUAGCGCUUAAUUAAGUACUCAAAUUUAGGCUCAAGCGUUUGAGAGCACUCAAGCACGAGAAGCACUCUAGUAUUUGAGCGUUUGAAGUCGAUCUUUCCAAAUUUGAAUUCCCAAUUUUGUUUUAAUUCUUUUCAUGUUUUAAGAAUUGGUUUUUGGAAACUUUAGGUGUCAAUCCACUAGGGUUUCAUCCUUGUAUAAAUAUUAUGUCUAGGAAUUGUUUUCGUUAUUGAUGGAAAUUUGAAAAAAAGAUUAUCAGCCUUUAUGGAUUCUAAAACUCCUAGGUUUUUGUAAUUCUCAUUCUUUCAGUUCGUGAGAGAGAUCUGCAUCCCUUUAGGUGUUGAGAUAAUCCAUUGAUUGCAUGUGUGGUGUUGUGUUACGAAUUUGAAAACUAGUAUAUGUAUUGAAGAAUAAAACUUAAGGAUAACAUGCACCAUAUAAAUUUGUAUAUUUUUCUUUUGAAAGAAGAUUUGUGUUUUGUAGUCUUUAAUCCUAUGGGUUUUAUAUCUGUAUAUUUACAAUGAUAUAGAUAAGGAAUGAUAAAUAUUUGUUCAUAUAUAUAUAUUAGAUUAUUAAGGUAGAGAAUUCCAAGCACAAGGUUAAGGAAUUAAUAAGUUUGAGUCAAAUUAGAUGUAAUUACAUUGAAGUUGUUAAAACGAUUUAUUAAAUUAUUAAACAGAUUACAUUAGAUUGAAUUAUCUAGAAAAAGAGUAGCACGGGAAAAGUGUGACUACCAAGUCAAUAACCAAUGUUUUUGCACCACUUUAAUAAGUGAACUGUACCAUAUGGUUAUCAUUCUGGAUGGGACUACAUUGAAGCCCUUUUUCACCUCCUAGGACAUAUUUUUCCAGAAAAAGUUGUUGCUCACGAAUUACUUGAUAGACGUUAAGAUCACUCACAGCUUCUCACUGGUCUCACUGGUGUAACGGCUGCUGCUUGCUGCUGUACUUCAGAAGUUGUUGCACUUCUAAAGUUAGGUAGUUUGUUAGACUUUGUUAGAUUAGUUAGGCUGUUACACAAUGGAAAAUUCUGUUGUACGGACGUGGGUACGGUACCAGCAAAAUUCCCGUUUUUGGAUCAGAAGCUUCCAAUCAAGACUGAAUGCCUUUGCACCACUUAGCUGGACUGCAUCAUCGUAUUGCCUCUUCUUGAAUACGCUUUGCUUGAUCAACUUGCCCCUGCUUGCCCUCCAUGACCCACUUUUUUCCAAGGAGGUGAUAACCCACUCUUCACUGCACCAUGCUUCACCCGAGGUUAGCUCUUUUGUCCUUUUGGAAAACUGCACCGCAGCUGUCCCUUCUUGACCGGCUCAACCCACGUCUCCAAAAGAGGUUGAGGGUUAGGGAUCACCACACAGGGUUUACCCACCAAUUACUUUGUUCUUUCUUCAUUCUUCCUACAUUUCUCCAAUUGCAUUAUGAAAUGCAAAUGCUUGUUGCAUUGUUUCGAGUGUGUCCAGCUAGAGACAGUUGCAGCAGCUCUGGUCAUAAUCCAUGCUUUCAGUGAUGUGCAGGAAACAUCAAACUUUAUAUUUGGUCAUGCAGAAAAUGACACCUGAAUUAUAAUUUUUAUGGGAGUUAGAAAAGUCUUGCUUCUUUGAUGAUUAUCCAAAGAUUCAAUCAUGAAAUGCAGAAAAUGUAAACUUCAUGUAUAUAGGUUUCGAACUUAUUUCUUUAGAAAAUGUAAAUUUUUAUGUGUAUAUAUGAAUCUCCAACAAUCCCUAAUUUCACACCCAUAUCAAUGGUGUGCGUACCCCAUUCAUAUGUAUUACAAUCAUCUGCUAUAUAUAUCACAUUCAAACAAAAGUAUGCUUAUAGAAUUGAUAUUGAAUUUAAAUACUUGAUAAAAUUAAUAUUCCAUUACUUAAAUCAAAACUCAAUGGCAGAAACAAUGAAGGAUAGAAAUUAAAAAAGAAAUAAAAUUAUUUUACAUAAAACGAAAUAAAAAUACCUUUUGAAGCUCUUCAUGUAGAUAGGUUUGGAGCUUAUUUAUUGCUUCUUCAUUGACAGAUUUCUUCCAUGUUGUCUAGAAUAUAUACCAAAGAUAGCUCGAAACAUCCACAAUCAUAUACAAAGAAAGAGGAGAAAUAUGACAUCUUUUAGCAAAUAUUUACUUGCAAAAUGGGGAUUAGUAGUUGAAAAUUUUAUUAUUAUUGAGCUACCAUUUCCAAGUAAACUCAUCAAAACCUCCUAAUUACAAGGUAGUAGCUGUUGGGGUGUUCUCUUGAAAUAUAAAAUUCCAUAUAGACUCUUGAACACUUAAAUGUAUAGCAAAAAUUUAAAUGGUUUCAGAAAUAUUUUCGGUUUAAAAAAAAAAAACUAACACGCUUACUUUUGGUUUUAUUUUUAAUGGUUCGAUUGCCUUGAUUUUUAAAUCAUAUAAUAAAUUUAUUUUUGAAAAAUGAAAUGUCUUUACCCUAAUAAUUAUUUAUAAAAUUUUCUGAAGGGCAGCUUUUUGAAAAAAUUUCAAGUCCUUCACCAAUCCUCUUUUUCCACAAGUAAUGUUACAUUCUAGAUUUGGCUAUAUUUUUAUCUGCUUCUUCAAUAUAUUUGAUAGAGAAGUUAUAUACAAAUUAUCACACACUCUCUCUAUUUAAAUUGAUUGAAAAAAGUGGACCAAAAAAAGUAUCAUUUGCCUUUCUAAAUUGACAUAACCAAUAGUAUAGCGUCGCUCUAAUGAAAUGAUAAAUCAUUUGUUAUGAUGUGAUAUAGAUAUGAAAUGAUAAAUCUUUUGUUCAAAUAUAAAUUAGGUUGUUUUGUUUGAAUUAACAAUUUUGUUCUAUUCAUCUUGACUUAGCAAUUAUUUACUUGACUUUUCUUACUCUCUAUUGAAGAUUCAAAAUUGUUGUAUCAUCAACCCAAAAUUAAACAAGUAUAGAGAGAUUCAAAAAAGGCUAAUUAGGAUAAAUUAUGAGAUAAAAUUGGCUUUAGGUUUUUAAUUAAGCUAAAAUAUUUUUAAAUAGAUUAUUAAAAACUAGACCAACACUCAAACCUAGUGCUCAAGCACUUUAAGAACACCCAAGCGUUUGAAGCAAAUUUUUCCAAAUUUGAAUUCUUGAUUUUGUUUUAAUGAUAGGUGUCCGUCCACUAAGGUUUCAUCUCUAUAUAAAUAUUGUGCCUAAAAAUCAUUUUGGUUAUUGAUGCGAAUUUCAUAAAAAGAUUAUUAGCCUUUACUACAUCCCAAUAUUCCCAUAUUUUUGUGAGUCUCAUUCUUUGGGUUGGUGAGAGAGAUCUGUAUCCCUUCAAGUGUUAAGGUAGUCCACUUGGUGCAGAUAUGAUCUUGCAUUUUGGACUUAAAAACUAGUAUAUAUAUUAGAAAUUAAAACUUAGGGAGAACAUUUGCCAUGUAAAUUUGUAUACUUUUCUUCUAAUAAUGGGCUUCUGCUCUAUAGUCUCUUACCAUGUGAUUUUUUUUACAUUUAUAUGGUAUUUGGGAGAUUUUAUGGGUGGUUUUUCAUGUAAAAAUUGUUGGUUUCUUUUUCUUUUUUUUCUAAUUAUUAAAGAGGAAUUAAAAAAAAAUUGUAUUAAAAAGAAGAUAAUACGAUUUACCCCGUAGGUGUUUCGUAAUUGAAAUAUACAAACUUUUAAAAUGUCAUACAUUUAACUUAUAAAAUGUGGAGAAGAUUUCUAGUGUAUAAUUAAUAUAGAGAAUUCCAAGCAUAAGGUUAAUGGAUUUAGAUUGAGUGCAAUCAUCUUGAGUUGUAAUUAUAUCAAAGUUGUUAAAGUAAUCCAUUAAAUUAAUUAUUAAAUAGGUCACAAUCUUCUAAACAAGGAGUAACAUAGGAAAGAGAUUGCCAAGUCAAUAACCAAUGCUUUUGAACCACUUAGAUAGUUCCAUGGUUGUCACUCUCGGUGGGACUGCACUUGAAGCCCUUUUCCACUUCCUCACACACUUCUUCCAAGAAGGUUGCUACCCACCAAUUACUCUCCCUUAACCCCUGCUUUGUUGAACCACAUCCUCUCCUUCAACCUUUAUCAACAACCUUUUUUUCUUGUUCUCUCCAAGGAAAGAUGCAUCUCUUUUCACCUUAUGUUUCAGUGUUUGCUUUGGUGCAUUAUUGGGUGGCUUGCUUCACUCCCAUGGUAUUCUCCAUCAAUUUAGUUGAUGACUUUGCUCUUGUUGCCUUGAAAGCCCAUAUCACAUAUGAUUCCCAAAGCAUUUUGGCAACAAAUUGGUCAACCAAAAGCCCCCAUUGCUGUUGGUAUGGUAUUUCUUGCAAUGCUGCUCAACAAAGAGUUUCUGUAAUCAAUCUUUCUAACAUGGGUCUUGAAGGAACUAUUGCACCACAAGUUGGCAACCUCUCCUUUCUUGUUUCUCUUAAUCUUAGUAAUAACUACUUUCAUGCCUCUCUUCCUAAGGAUAUUGGUAAGAUUCUCAUAAUUUUUCUCUAUUUUACAAGUCAAUACUCAUAUUUCCUGCUUCAAUAUAUAACAUCAAUAAGAUUGAGAUUAUCAUAAUUUUUAGCUUUCAACCAUGAUGAGAUAGUUGAGUAAUUGAUAAAUUAUAGUUUAAAAAAUAAUAAUUAAAUAUUUGUUAAAUUGGAUAAUAUGGAAUGAUAAAAGUUUAACUUAUUCUCUUUAUUUUGAUAUAAGAUUCAUUUUAAUUAAAUAAAUCAUUAUAGGAUUUAAAAAUGAGUUGUAUUUUUUUUUCAUUUCUUAAAAAUUAUUUUCUUCUUUCUAUUUUUACUGAAUUCAAGUAAACAUAAUCAUUACAAUUGUAAUAAUUUUUUAUUUUAAAUUUUAGAAUGGGUAAUACCCACAAAUUAGAUUAAAUAAAUAUAACAAUAAUAAAAAGUUUCAACUAACAAAAUGUUUUUCUUUUAAAGUUACAAAAUUAAAUAAUUUAUUUAUGGUAACAUUUUUCAUUUGAUAGAUAAUUUUGAAUAUUGAAAAUUUUGAUCCAAAAAGUUAAAUUAUUGAAAAAGAAAAACAUAAUUUAAGUAAUAUAUUAUAAAUUAAAUGUAAUAAAAUAUUUCAUAGAUAUCAAAUAAUUUCAUAUAUAUAUAUAUAUAACUAAAUUUAAUUUAAUAUAAUAUAUUUAAAGCUACAAUACAAUAUUUAUUUGUAACAAAAAAUAGUGGAUAUUUUUGUUAUUAAUAUUUCUUAUAAAAAAUAAAAAUAAAAUGUCAAUUAGUUAAUUAUAUUCUAUCUAAUACUUGACAUUUGUGUUAAGUGCAUGGUUAAUUUCACAAACUAUUUGAUAAUAUAUUAUAGAGUAAUAAACAUUAUUGUACACAAUUCAAACCGUCAUGUAAGUUGCAAAUUGUAUUCAAUCAAACCAAAAUGCUCUACCUAAAUGCUUGGCAACCAUCAACAUGUGAUUCAUGAUAAGUUUUUCUCAAUAUUAGUGCCUCUUUCAAAUAUUAUCGUGAUAUUUGAUUUCGAGAAAGUACUAAGAAAAAAAAUAAAGAAAAUAAUUUUUUAUAUUUGAUUUUACUAUGAAAAAAAUCAAAUAUAAUUAAUUAAAACUUAUCUAUUUUAAAAUUAUUUAAUCUUUAUAUAAAUGAAUUAAAACAAGUUAAAUAUGUUUAAAGUAGCACGUAAAUAAUCUAUUGACUUUAAAUCUAUUUUUUUCUUUACUUUUAUUUUUACUCUUUCUUUUAUAUAUAUGAGGGAAAGAAAAUAAAAAGGAAACUUAGAAGAAGAAAAAGCAAAGAAAAAAAAAAGAUUUAAAUUGAAUAAAUUAAAUUUUAUAUGUUCCUUCAAAUUCAUUUAAAAUUAAAAAUAGAUUUAAAGUUAAUAAAUUGAUUUUAUAUCUUUCUUCAAAUUCAUUUACUUAUUUUAAUUCUUCUAUAUAAAAAUUUAAUAAUUUAAAAAUGCAUACAUUUUUUAUUAAUUUUAAUUAUUUUUUUUUUCCAAUUUUCUAUAGUAAAACCAUUGGGAGAAGAUAAUUUUCCUUUAAUAUUUUUUUUCUUUCUUUUAUUAUCUUCUACAACCAAACAUAGCCUAUAGGUUCAUGAUAAUCUUUUUUUUUCUUUAAUUUUAUUUUUGCUCUUUCUUUUUUAUAAUUUUUUUUUUGUCUAUUUUGUUUUCCUCGUAUUUUCUUGUAAGCAAGCAAAAUCUUUGACUAUGUUUGGUUCCCAAAAAAAUAAGAGGGAAAGAAAAUAAAAAGGAAACUUAGAAGAAGAAAAAAGUAAAGAAAAAUAAAAAAUAAAAAAAUAAAAAAGAUUUAAAUUUAAUAGAUUAAAUUUUAUAUGUUUCUUCAAAUUCAUUUAAAUUUAAAAAAUAGAUUUAAAGUUAAUAAAUUGAUUUUAUAUGUUUCUUCUAAUUCAUUACUUAUUUUAAUUCCUUGAUAUAAAAAUUUAAUAAUUUUAAAAUGCAUUCAUUUUAAUUAAUUUUAAUUAUAUUUUAUAUUUUUCCUAUUUUCUAUGGUAAAACCAUUGGGAGAAAAUAAUUUUCCUUUAAUAUUUUUUUUUUCUUUCUUUUGUUAUCUUUUAUAACCAAACAUAGUCUAUAUGUUAAUAAUAAUAAUAUUUCAAAUCUUUUUUUAUUUUAGGUAAUGCAAGGAGCUUCAACAGCUGAAUUUAUUCAAUAAUAAACUGGUUGGAAGCAUUCCAGAAGCCAUUUGUAAUUUACCAAAACUUGAAGAGCUAUAUCUUGGCAAUAAUCAGUUAAUUGGUGAAAUUCCAAAGAAGAUGAGUCAUCUUCGUAAUCUGAAGAUAUUGUCAUUUCGAAUGAACAACUUAACAGGUUCCAUACCAGCCACCAUUUUCAACAUAUCUUCUUUACUCAACAUUAGUCUGUCCUACAAUAGCCUCUCUGGGAGUCUUCCCAUGAAUAUAUGCAACACCAAUCCAAAGCUCAAGGAGCUUAAUCUUUCAUCAAAUCAUUUGAGUGGACAGAUCCCUAAUGGUUUAGGCCAAUGUAUAAAACUUCAAGUAAUUUCCUUAUCAUAUAAUGAAUUCACGGGAAGCAUACCAAGAGGAAUUGGUGAAUUGGUGGAGCUUCGGAGAUUGUCUCUCCAGAAUAACAGUUUGACAGGUACACUCUUUCUUUUCUUUUUUAUUUUUCCUUCUUAUUCUUUCACUUUCCCUCAAGCUUUCAAAGAUGUAAGCAUAGCGUUAAUGUUUUUCCAACCCACUCAUUUUAAUUGUGUUGCAGGAGAAAUGCCUCAUUCUCUGUUCAACAUUUCUAGCCUGAAGUUUCUGAAUCUGGAAGUAAAUAACCUAAAAGGUGAAAUCCCCUCUACUUUGUCACAUUGUCGAGAGCUCCAAAAGCUAUCAUUAUCAUUCAAUCAAUUCACUGGACGCAUUCCAGAAGCCAUAGGGAGUUUAUCUAAUCUGGAAGGAUUAUAUCUUGGUUAUAACAAAUUGGCAGGUGGAAUUCCUAAGGAGAUGGGGAAUCUUCGUAAUUUAAAUAUUUUGAGCCUAACUUCUAGUGGACUAAGUGGUCCUAUUCCUACCGAAAUUUUCAAUAUCUCUUCAUUGCAAGAGAUUCAUUUAAGUAAUAAUAGCUUUUCUGGGAGUCUUCCAAUGGAUAUCUGCGAACAUCUUCCUAAUCUCAAAGGGCUUUAUCUUGCUAUCAAUCAGCUCAGUGGUCAACUUCCUGCAACUAUAUCCUUAUGUAGGUAACUUCUGUCACUGUACCUAUUUUACAACAAAUUCACAGGAAGCACACCAAGAGAAAUUGGCAACUUAUCCAAGCUUGAACAGAUUUAUCUUGGGAGAAAUAGCUUCACAGGUACCAUUCCACCUUCAUUUGGUAAUUUAACUGCCUUACAGGAUCUUCAAUUGGGGGAAAACAAUAUUCAAGGUAAUAUCCCCAAGGAGUUGGGGAGUCUCAUCAACUUAAAAUUCUUGAAUCUUGGC